rnacentral:ncRNA from 1 species
GUUAUGGGGAUAUAGGAAAAACACUACUAACCUCUGGUCCAACAGAUAGAAAUCGCAUAUAAGGCUAGGCUUCGAGAGAUAAGUUGGCGCAAAGCAACAAAGUCUAAUUACUACCACAUUUGUAGAAGCAGAGUAAAUGCGGCGGAUAUAUGGAGGGAAAGAGUGCGCA